GGACUACCGGGGUAUCUAAUCCCGUUUGCUCCCCUGGCUUUCGCACCUCAGCGUCAGAAACCAACCAGUGCAUCGCUUUCGCCGCCGACGUUCCUUCCGAUAUCAACGCAUUUCACCGCUCCACCGGAAAUUCCAUGCACCCCUUUGGUCCUCAAGCAAAGCAGUCUUGGGCGCAGUUCCUCGGUUGGGCCGAGGGAUUUCACACCCAACUUACUCCGCCGCCUACGUGCGCUUUAUGCCCAGUGAUUCCGAACAACGCUCGCCACCUUCGUCUUACCGCGGCUGCUGGCAC
rnacentral:rRNA from 1 species